rnacentral:rRNA from 1 species
AGAAUCAACGCUGGCGGCGUGCCUAACACAUGCAAGUCGAACGAGAAAGUGGAGCAAUCCAUGAGUAAAGUGGCGACCGGGUGAGUAACACGUGACUAACCUACCUUCGAGUGGGGGAUAACAUCGGGAACCGAUGCUAAUACCGCAUAACAUCGCAAGAUCAAAGCAGCAAUGCGCUUGAAGAGGGGGUCGCGGCUGAUUAGCUAGUUGGCGGGGUAAUGGCCCACCAAGGCGAAGAUCGGUA